rnacentral:rRNA from 1 species
GACGAACGCUGGCGGCGUGCUUAACACAUGCAAGUCGAGCGGAGCGGCGAAAGGGUGAGUAACGGGAGAGUAACUGCCCCCCUCUCUGGGAGAACAGUUGGAAACGGCAGCUAAUACAGGAUAGUGGGGGGUGACUCGCGGCCUAUCAGCUUGUUGGUGGGGUAGUGGCUGACCAAGGCGACGACGGGUGGCCGGCCUGAGAGGGCGAACGGCCACAUGGAGCUGAGGUACGUACCAAACUCCUACGGGAGGCAGCGGUUGGGAAUAUUGCACAGUCGUGGAAACCCUGAUACAGCGGCGCCGCGUGCGGAAUGACGGCCUUCGGGUUGUGAACCGCUUUCAGCCAUGACGCGGUAGUUGCAGAAGAAGCACCGGCUAACUACGUGCCAGCAGCCGCGGUAAUUC